AGUGAACGCUGGCGGUAGGCCUAACACAUGCAAGUCGAACGGCAGCACAGAGGAGCUUGCUCCUUGGGUGGCGAGUGGCGGACGGGUGAGGAAUACAUCGGAAUCUACUCUGUCGUGGGGGAUAACGUAGGGAAACUUACGCUAAUACCGCAUACGACCUACGGGUGAAAGCAGGGGAUCUUCGGACCUUGCGCGAUUGAAUGAGCCGAUGUCGGAUUAGCUAGUUGGCGGGGUAAAGGCCCACCAAGGCGACGAUCCGUAGCUGGUCUGAGAGGAUGAUCAACCACACUGGAACUGAGACACGGUCCAGGCUCCUACGGGAGGCAGCAGUGGGGAAUAUUGGACAAUGGGCGCAAGCCUGAUCCAGCCAUACCGCGUGGGUGAAGAAGGCCUUCGGGUUGUAAAGCCCUUUUGUUGGGAAAGAAAUCCAUCUGGUUAAUACCCGGAUGGGAUGACGGUACCCAAAGAAUAAGCACCGGCUAACUUCGUGCCAGCCGCCGCCGUAA
rnacentral:rRNA from 1 species